rnacentral:rRNA from 1 species
GACGAACGCUGGCGGCGUGCUUAACACAUGCAAGUCGAACGGUGAAGGGGUCUGCUUUUGUUGGCCUGGAUGCGUGGCGAACGGGUGCGUAACACGUGAGUACCCUUCCCCCUUCUUUUGGAUAACCGCAUGAAAGCGUGGCCUAUACGGGAUCAUCCGGGUCUGUCGCAUGAUGGGUGUGUGAAAGCUUGCGCCUUUGGGUGUUUUUGGUGGGGGAUGGGCUCGCGGGCUAUCCGCUUGUUGGUGGGGUGCUGGCCUACCAAGGCGGCGACGGGUGGGCGGCCGGGGAGGGGGGACGGGCACGCUGGGACUGAGACAGGGCCCAGACUACGACGGGAGGCAGCAGUGGGGGAGACUGCACAGUGGGCGCAAGCCUGAUGCAGCGACGCCGCGUGAGGGAGGGAGGCCUUCGGGUUGUAAACCUCGUUCGACAGUGAAGCAGGCCUGCUCCUUGUGGGUGGGUUGACGGUAGCUGGAUAAGAAGCGCCGGCUAACUACGUG